GGGGAAUAUUGCACAAUGGGGGAAACCCUGAUGCAGCGACGCAGCGUGCGGGAUGACGGCCUUCGGGUUGUAAACCGCUUUCAGCAGGGAAGAAGCCUUUCGGGGUGACGGUACCUGCAGAAGAAGUACCGGCUAACUACGUGCCAGCAGCCGCGGUAAUACGUAGGGUACAAGCGUUGUCCGGAAUUAUUGGGCGUAAAGAGCUCGUAGGUGGUUGGUCACGUCUGCUGUGGAAACGCAACGCUUAACGUUGCGCGUGCAGUGGGUACGGGCUGACUAGAGUGCAGUAGGGGAGUCUGGAAUUCCUGGUGUAGCGGUGAAAUGCGCAGAUAUCAGGAGGAACACCGGUGGCGAAGGCGGGACUCUGGGCUGUAACUGACACUGAGGAGCGAAAGCAUGGGGAGCGAAC
rnacentral:rRNA from 1 species